rnacentral:rRNA from 1 species
AAUGGAUGGCGCUGUCUUACCAUGCAGUCGAACGGCAGCACGGGAGCAAUCCUGGUGGCGAGUGGCGAACGGGUGAGUAAUGCAUCGGAACGUGUCCUGUAAUGGGGGAUAGCCCGGCGAAAGCCGGAUUAAUACCGCAUACGACCUGAGGGUGAAAGCGGGGGAUCUUCGGACCUCGCGCUAUAGGAGCGGCCGAUGUCAGAUUAGGUAGUUGGUGGGGUAAAGGCCUACCAAGCCGACGAUCUGUAGCUGGUCUGAGAGGACCACCAGCCACACUGGGACUGAGACACGGCCCAAACUCCUACGGGAGGCAGCAGUGGGGAAUUUUGGACAAUGGGCGCAAGCCUGAUCCACCCAUGCCGCGUGCAGGAAGAAGGCCUUCGGGUUGUAAACUGCUUUUGUCAGGGAAGAAAUCCUCUGGGUUAAUACCUCGGAGGGAUGACGGUACCUGAAGAAUAAGCACCGGCUAACUACGUGCCAGCAGCCGCGGUAAUACGUAGGGUGCGAGCGUUAAUCGGAAUUACUGGGCGUAAAGCGUGCGCAGGCGGCUUUGCAAGACAGAUGUGAAAUCCCCGGGCUCAACCUGGGAACUGCAUUUGUGACUGCAAGGCUAGAGUGCGGCAUAGGGAGAUGGAAUUCC